rnacentral:rRNA from 1 species
GACGAACGCUGGCGGCGUGCUUAACACAUGCAAGUCGAACGGUAAGGCCCUUCGGGGUACACGAGUGGCGAACGGGUGAGUAACACGUGGGUGAUCUGCCCUGCACUUCGGGAUAAGCCUGGGAAACUGGGUCCAAUACCGGAUAGGACCACUGCCUGCAUGGGUGGUGGCGGAAAGCUUUUGCGGUGUGGGAUGGGCCCGCGGCCUAUCAGCUUGUUGGUGGGGUGAUGGCCUACCAAGGCGACGACGGGUAGCCGGCCUGAGAGGGUGACCGGGCAAGCUGGGACUUAUAGACGGCCCAGACUCCUACGGGAGGGAGCAGUGGGGAAUAUUUGACACUGGGCGCAAGCCUUAUGCAGCGACGCCGCGUGAGGGAUGACGGCCUUCGGGUUGUAAACCUCUUUCAGUAGGGACGAAGCGCAAGUGACGGUACCUACAGAAGAAGGACCGGCCAACUACGUGCCAGCAGCCGCGGUAA